AGAAAUAGCAUCUAGAAUCUAUGGUGAUAGGCUGGUGGUAUAGCUUGCAAGUGGCAAUCCAAACAGACAGGCACAGUAUAGCAGUAAAGAGAGAGACCCUUCAAUGAAUGGCGUUUAUUUGUAGGGCUGCUGCGGCUGUUUUUGGAUGCUGCUGAUACAGCAAACACACAACAGACAGCCGUAACGAUAUCUCGUGUAAAUGCCAAUUUAUCCCCCCCCCCCUUUUUUUUUCAAAGUAAUGUAGAAUCUAGUCUUUUCACCCUAUUUUUACCAUUAUUUUAUGUCCUCUCCCAUACGUAUAACUUUUGCUUGAAAUGACCCCAUGACCCCUUCUAAGUUUUAACCCUUUUCUAUACUCUAUACCCUUCUGGGUUUCAGGGAUUUUUUACUCUCUUUUCCUUCCUUACAGGCAGCCAGUCAGCAGAGGGUUCCACCAUUCAAAUACCACCUUAUAACCAGAUACUUAGGAGCGAACCUGACGGAUCAGGGACAAAACCAAGUUCCGAC
rnacentral:lncRNA from 1 species